GGUACUAUAGUAUAGGGGUUAUCAUUCGGGAUUUUGACUAUUCCGGCAAUUCCCGAGACCCAGGUUCGAAUCCUGGUAGUACCU